GUUGCGGUUAAAAAGCUCGUAGUUGGAUUUCUGUUGAGGAUGACCGGUCCGCUCUUUGAGCGCGUAUCUGGUUCAGCCUUGGCAUCCUCUUGGGGAACGCUACUGUGCUUGAUUGCAUGGGGGGGUAUUCAAGACUUUUACUUUGAGGAAAUUAGAGUGUUCACUGCAAGCGUUAGCAAUUGAAUACAUUAGCAUGGAAUAAUAAUAUAGGACCUUGGUACUAUUUUGUUGGUUUCUAGAACUAAGGUAAUGAUUAAUAGGGACAAUUGGGGGCAUUCGUAUUAACGCGUCAGAGGUGGAAUUCUUAGAUCGCGUACGACGAACUA
rnacentral:rRNA from 1 species